UCGGGAAUUUUGGGCAAUGGGCGAAAGCCUGACCCAGCAACGCCGCGUGAGGGAUGAAGUAUUUCGGUAUGUAAACCUCGAAAGAAUGGGAAGAAUAAAUGACGGUACCAUUUAUAAGCUCCGGCUAACUACGUGCCAGCAGCCGCGGUAAUACGUAGGGAGCAAGCGUUGUUCGGAUUUACUGGGCGUAAAGGGCGCGUAGGCGGCGCGGUAAGUCACUUGUGAAAUCUCUGGGCUUAACUCAGAACGGCCAAGUGAUACUGCUGUGCUAGAGUGCGGAAGAGGCAACCGGAAUUCUUGGUGUAGCGGUGAAAUGCGUAGAUAUCAAGAGGAACGCCUGAGGCGAAGGCGGGUUGCUGGGCCGACACUGACGCUGAUGCGCGAAAGCCAGGGGAGCAAACG
rnacentral:rRNA from 1 species